UAAAAUGGUUGCUGAAAUGUGAGGGGUGUACUCACUUUUGUGAAAUACUGUAUAUGACAUAAUUAAUAUAUAUAUUAUAUAUAAGUAAUAUAUAAAUAACAUAAUUAGUAUAUAUAUUAAUUAUGUUAUUUAUUAAUUUAUAAUUAAUAUAAAAUAAAUAAUAAAGUAACUACUAGAGACUGUGCCAUAAAUAUAAACAAUUCUAUAGUGAAUGAAUUAAUGUCUUACUGUGAGUAAUAGCCUCUGGAUAUAAUAUAUAACAUAAUAAGUUUUGAAAUCACUUCAGUAGUCAACAAAACAAAACAAAAAAUCUGGUAUUCCUUGUAUUUAAUUUUGUAAUCUGGUAAUCUUUUAAUGUCAAUUUUUACUCCCAGAAUGCAGUGGGGAUGUCCGAGUGCAGGAUCAUCCAAGAAGAAAUUAGACAUUGUGUUUUCCACAGCUUCAUCUUUAACGUUCAUUUCCACCGGCCUGUGUCUUGUACCGCCCUGCCUUCCUGCUCAGGUCAGGAAAAAUUCAGAGUCUCUUCGAGGCAUCAGGCUGUAAUUAACCAUUCCCUUCACUGCCGCUGUUCUCUGAGCUAGACGGGCCUGGAGGUCUGCCACGGUACCCACCGCUCUGUUUCAAGCAAAUAUCUCCAGCUUUGUUCACAUGACGAUGAGCCGCUCUGGAGAAAAUGGGCAGCAGAAGGUGUCACCUUCAUCGGACCUGACACACAUGCUACUCAAACCGUGGGAGACAAGAUCAGGGGCAAAUUAAUCGCCAAGAUGCCAAGGUCAGUGUCGUGCCCCCAUGCGCGUGGGCUGGUCAAGCAACAAAGCCAAUGAUUUCCACAUAAGAGCAGUGGGGAGACAGAGUAUGGAGAGGAGGAUCGGGUAGACGGCCCCUCCAGAGCCCGCUGAAGUGAAGCCAUAGUUGGGUGUGUUGGCUGGUCUCGCCCGGCCGCCCCACAGCAGUGAAACACUCAGGAUGGUCCUGAUGAUACUCGUUUGACAGUGGCUGACAUGAGCAGAGGCCUGUAAGGCUAGUGGCGAGACAGAAAAGCCACCUGGGAGGCCCAUUCCUACGGAUACAGCUGCUGUUUUCCGGCUCUGUAGUGCUGUGUUUGCACGUUUACAAAUUAGCACUUCUCACGGGCCUGGGACCUGCUUUACGGAGCCGAGUUUUCUGAGCAGCCUGAAAGUGUGAAAGAGUUCCAGAGGGCAGAGCAUUUGGAGAAGUCUAGAUAAUGAGAUUCUUUUGUUAAUGCCAUUGAACUCGAUUCAAUUACUGAAAAGGGCCCAUGUUUGUGAUAUAGUGUGCACAGUAUACAUGUGUUUCUAUAUGCAGUUGACUUUGUAAGCCCUCAAGGAACAAACUUUUAGCACUUUCAAACAUUCAAUGUUUAUCGUCAAGCACAAAUGGAGAACCAAGUAUAUUUGUCUUUUUUCUGUUUCUGUUUUUUCUUUAGCCAAGUGAGCUGUUUUGGGGCUGAUCUUGUGUGUGCUUGUGUGAUGUAUAGAUUAAUUAAAUAAGCAUAUUGAUUCCUGUUCUGGCAACACAGAGUGUGGGGUUUUAAUUAGCCCACGCUUGAGUGUGUUAAAAUUCCUGUCUUAUCUGUGUGGAACCAAGUGGAACUGAAUGCAAGAGGGCUGCUCAUCAACUCAGAAUCUCCAAUAACCUUUUUUUUUGUUUUUUGUCUGACCUAAAACCCAAACUUUAAUGUAUGCAAGUAGUAUAUGCAACACUUCCAUUGCUAAUACUCAUUUUAAACACACAAUUUGUGCCUACUGCCACCCAUAUUAUAGAAAAAAAGGAAGCGAAAAAUAGGUGAUGUAAAAAAAAUGUUUUUGUGGCAAUGAAAUAACUAUAAUUUUUAAGGACACAUCAGUGAGAUUGCACUUUUUUGACAAUACAUACAUACAUACAUACAUACAUAUACAUAUAUAAUGGAAUACAAAUAUACAAUAUACAAUACAUAUAUAUAUAUAUAUAUAUAUACAUUCAAGGUCCAGAAAGUAGUAAAAACAUUGUUAAAACAGUCAACGUGACUACAGUUAAAGGAUUAGUUAACCUUAAAGGAUUAGUUCACUUUAAAAUGAAAAUUACCCCAAACUUUACUCACUCUCAAACCAUCCUCGGUGUAUAUGACUUUCUUCUUUCUGAUGAACACAAUUGGAGUUAUAUUUCGAAUCAGUGGUUCGGAGAGCGUUUUAAACUGCAAAAGUCACAACCCCCAGUGGUGAACCAUUGAAAUUUCGAAACAUUUAUGACUUAAUGAAGCCUUGUUUACUGAAAUCAUGUGACUGUGGCAGUUUGAUACACACUCCGUUUGUUUGUUUUUUUGGCACACAAAAAGUAUUAUUGUCGAUUCAUAACAUUAAGGUUGAACCACUGUAGUCACAUAAACUGUUUUAAAUAUGUCUUUAGUGGAUUUCUGGGCAUCUGAAAAUGUUAAUUAUAUUGCUGGCAAUGGAGGCCUCACUGAGCCAUCAGAUUUCAUCAAAAAUAUCUUAAUUUGUGUUCUGAAGAUGAACAAAGGUCUUACAGGUGUGGAACAACAUUAGGGUGAGUAAUUAAUGACAGAAUUUUCAUUUUUGGGUGAACUAACCCCUUGUGUUCAUCAGAAAGAAGAAAGUCAUAUACACCUAGGAUGGCUAGAGGGUGAGUAAAGCUUGGGGUAAUUUUCAUUUUAAAGUGAACUACUCCUUUAAUGUUAUGAAGUGACGAGAAUACUUUUUGUGCCCUUGACUGUCUAUACAAUAUCAACAGCAUAGGAGAAUGAUAGGGGAGAGAAUAAAUUUUUGAAUAAAAUUAUUAUUUUUGUUUUGAUUUUGCACACAAAAAGUAUUCUUGUCGCUUCAUAACAUUAAGGUUGAACCACUGCAGUCAAGUUGUUAUGUCUUUACUACUUUUCUAGACCUUGAAUAAGGUUGUUAUAUUGCUUUUUAUGGGGGAUAGAAAAACCUCUUGGAUUUCAUCAAAAAUAUCCUAAUUUAUGUUCUGAAGAUGAACGAAGGUCUUGGAAUGACAUGAGGGUGAGUAAUUAAUUACAGAAAUUCAUUUUUGGGUGAACUAACCCUUUAACAACAAAUGGAACGAACAUGAAUUUACUGAAUUGCAAAAACCUAUAAACACUAAACAUUCUCAGAUGAUCUCCACAUGGAGUUGUUUUAGAUAUAAAGUGAGCCAGGUUUCUAACAUCCAGAUUGUAUUAAGGUAUUUAAUUUUUUUUAAAUGUGUCUUGUUCCUACAGCUUGUGAUUUGAAGGUUUUUUGGGAGCCCUUCGUCUCUCCCUUGGCAGCAGACAAGUGUGACGGCACAUUUUUGCACACAUCCAAAGAACCUUCUGUCCUGCCUACUGAUACCUCGAUCUGGUCUCCCUCAGCCAUCUUGUUCUUCAUAAAUUUUUCACCAUGCUGUGAUCAAAGCUCACCACUGUAUUUGUGUUCUGUUGUAAUGGCCAAGGAUGUAACAUGAAAAUCUACUUAAAAAUUACGAUCCAUCUUAUAUCAGGCCUAGUGUUGACAUGGCUUGUUUCUGUGUGGGUUUUUAACAUGAUUGAUUUAUUUUGUUUAGACGGGCAGGAAGGUGCAGGAAUGUUUGGUGCUGUAGGCGUGUCAGUGGGUGAUCCACAUUCAUAUGCCGUGCACUUGUCUCAAUAUUGCAGCCAGGCCAUGCAGCUGUGUCAGAAAACACACUCAUCUGUUUUUUUUUUUUGUUUUUUUUUGCAAAGAUAAGUGUGAGCUCAAGACACUUUGACAUCGCUUUCGAAAAUAGCAUUCAGUUAAAUAAAAUGCAAUUUAAAAAAAAAAAGUAUUUUCAAUUCUUUUCCUAUAUAGAAGCUGAGCAGAAAUAUCCCACACAGGAUUGUGGGAUUGACGGGAGUGGAGUAAGCACUGAGAAUGUCAAAAAAUUAAGAAAUGCCAAUUUGACAAGCGAAAAGCACUGAAUGGCAGCCAAUCGCUGUGAAAAGUUUACUCAUUUUUCCUCCUAAACUGUAAUUGUGCAUAUAUGACUUUGAUUCAUCAGAAGCUGAACUAGACAGUUUUUGGAUGUAUUUUUAUGGAAUUUCUUCUAUGCCAGUGCAAUGUGUUUUAAGAAAAGGAGGUUCUCUUUCUGUGUGGCCCAGAGUGACUCAACUUGCCUUGCUUGUCUUAAUGACAUCGAUUUCUCUAGCUGCCAACUGCUGAAGACCAUCUUACCAAGGCUUUACUGCCUUUCAUGUUCCUUAAUCCUGGGCUAUGUUAGCAUAAUGCUAAUGCACUGUCUUCAUAGCCGCUUUGGAGGUCUUUGUGAAGUGGAGAGAAAUAGUUCCAUCUGCAACAUCGGACAAAAAAUAUAUACUUGUUUAAUAUGACAGCGGUCAUGGUAGUUUAGCAAAAUAAAGCAUUAAAAAAGAA